rnacentral:lncRNA from 1 species
AUGGCCGCUGCUCGUUUCACCGCCGCACAGGUUCUAGAGCAGAUUUUUUUAAGCCAAUCUAAUGACGACUCUGAACCAGAAGAGGAAUCUGAGGAAGACGUGUCAAGUGAAGAAGAGAAAGAAAAAGGAGAAGCAGAAGAAGCAGAUACAGCAGGACCAGAAACAGAUGAAGGACAAAAAGACAGCGAGGGAUGUGAUCUAAGGCUGGACACUUCAGAUGAAGAAGUUGAUGAUGAAGAAUAUAAUGAUGAUGAUGAUGAAGAAGUUGAUGAUGAAGAAUAUAAUGAUGAUGAUGAUGAUGAUGAAGAUGAUGAUGAAAUAAUAGAAAAUGUGCAAAGACUGGAGCAAAUAGAACUCGAGGAUGAAGAAGAAGAAAAAGAAGAAGAAGAAGAAGAAGAUAAAACUUUUAUCUCUAAAGACGGGAAAAUAAAAUGGUCCUCCGCUGCGUUUCGCAACGGCGAGGAAGCGAGGAACGUCCCUCUUAGUCCUCUUUCUGCCCAGGGACCCACAGAGUACGCGGCGGCUCAGGCGGUCGACUUUGAAUCGACCUUCCGCAUGUUUGUGACCCCGGCGGUGGAAAGGAUCGUCCUGGAGAACACCAACCUGGAGGGCUCUCGAAAGCUCGGGAGCGCCUGGAAGGGCAUGGACGAGGUCGACCUGCGAGCCUACUUGGGCCUCCUGAUUUUGUCCGGCGUCUACAGGUCCCGAGGGGAGGCCGUGGCCAGCCUGUGGGACGCCGAGAGCGGCAGGGCCAUUUUUCGCGCCACGAUGUCGCUCAAGUUGUUUCACGCUUACUCGAAGCUGUUGCGUUUCGACGAUCGCCAAACGAGACCCGCCAGGCGAGCGACGGACAAACUGGCAGCCGUGAGAGAGGUCUGGGACGCGUGGGUGGAGCGGCUGCCCAGCCUCUACGACCCGGGUCCUAACGUGACGGUGGACGAGCAACUGGUACCUUUCAGAGGUAAAGCAAAAAAAAAAAAAAAAAAACCAUGCAGACACAGACACAGACAUACAAACACAGGCAGACACACACACACACACACACACACACACACACACACGCAGACAUGCAGACACAGGCACAGACACACACACAGGCACAUAGACACAAAAAAAUAUAUUUUUAAAAAUCUCACCUUUAUUUUUUGUAGGUCGUUGCUCUUUCAGACAGUACAUGCCUAG